AUGAAUUUGAUUUGGUGCACGAAGCUUAAAAGAUAUCUGUUCUGCCUUGUCCAGUUGGCUCACUGUGGUGGGAUUCCAUCUGUAUACGUUCUGCGGGUGUUGGAGUUCACAUUGGACAAACCUAUGACAGGAAGGCAGUCUAUCUCAUGGCCAACACGCAGAGACAAAGAACCAUUUGUCAGUGCACCUGACACCAGGACAAUCCUGAUGUGUGUCGGAGCUUCUUCUGACGACGAUAUGCACACGUGA
rnacentral:lncRNA from 1 species